UGAAAAAUUAGCGGAUGACUUGUGGCUGGGGGUGAAAGGCCAAUCAAACCGGGAGAUAGCUGGUUCUCCCCGAAAGCUAUUUAGGUAGCGCCUCGUGAAUUCAUCUCCGGGGGUAGAGCACUGUUUCGGCAAGGGGGUCAUCCCGACUUACCAACCCGAUGCAAACUGCGAAUACCGGAGAAUGUUAUCACGGGAGACACACGGCGGGUGCUAACGUCCGUCGUGAAGAGGGAAACAACCCAGACCGCCAGCUAAGGUCCCAAAGUCAUGGUUAAGUGGGAAACGAUGUGGGAAGGCCCAGACAGCCAGGAUGUUGGCUUAGAAGCAGCCAUCAUUUAAAGAAAGCGUAAUAGCUCACUGGUCGAGUCGGCCUGCGCGGAAGAUGUAACGGGGCUAAACCAUGCACCGAAGCUGCGGCAGCGACGCUUAUGCGUUGUUGGGUAGGGGAGCGUUCUGUAAGCCUGUGAAGGUGUACUGUGAGGUAUGCUGGAGGUAUCAGAAGUGCGAAUGCUGACAUAAGUAACGAUAAAGCGGGUGAAAAGCCCGCUCGCCGGAAGACCAAGGGUUCCUGUCCAACGUUAAUCGGGGCAGGGUGAGUCGACCCCUAAGGCGAGGCCGAAAGGCGUAGUCGAUGGGAAACAGGUUAAUAUUCCUGUACUUGGUGUUACUGCGAAGGGGGGACGGAGAAGGCUAUGUUGGCCGGGCGACGGUUGUCCCGGUUUAAGCGUGUAGGCUGGUUUUCCAGGCAAAUCCGGAAAAUCAAGGCUGAGGCGUGAUGACGAGGCACUACGGUGCUGAAGCAACAAAUGCCCUGCUUCCAGGAAAAGCCUCUAAGCAUCAGGUAACAUCAAAUCGUACCCCAAACCGACACAGGUGGUCAGGUAGAGAAUACCAAGGCGCUUGAGAGAACUCGGGUGAAGGAACUAGGCAAAAUGGUGCCGUAACUUCGGGAGAAGGCACGCUGAUAUGUAGGUGAAGCGACUUGCUCGUGGAGCUGAAAUCAGUCGAAGAUACCAGCUGGCUGCAACUGUUUAUUAAAAACACAGCACUGUGCAAACACGAAAGUGGACGUAUACGGUGUGACGCCUGCCCGGUGCCGGAAGGUUAAUUGAUGGGGUUAGCGGUAACGCGAAGCUCUUGAUCGAAGCCCCGGUAAACGGCGGCCGUAACUAUAACGGUCCUAAGGUAGCGAAAUUCCUUGUCGGGUAAGUUCCGACCUGCACGAAUGGCGUAAUGAUGGCCAGGCUGUCUCCACCCGAGACUCAGUGAAAUUGAACUCGCUGUGAAGAUGCAGUGUACCCGCGGCAAGACGGAAAGACCCCGUGAACCUUUACUAUAGCUUGACACUGAACAUUGAGCCUUGAUGUGUAGGAUAGGUGGGAGGCUUAGAAGUGUGGACGCCAGUCUGCAUGGAGCCGACCUUGAAAUACCACCCUUUAAUGUUUGAUGUUCUAACGUUGGCCCCUGAUCGGGGUUGCGGACAGUGUCUGGUGGGUAGUUUGACUGGGGCGGUCUCCUCCUAAAGAGUAACGGAGGAGCACGAAGGUUGGCUAAUCCUGGUCGGACAUCAGGAGGUUAGUGCAAUGGCAUAAGCCAGCUUGACUGCGAGCGUGACGGCGCGAGCAGGUGCGAAAGCAGGUCAUAGUGAUCCGGUGGUUCUGAAUGGAAGGGCCAUCGCUCAACGGAUAAAAGGUACUCCGGGGAUAACAGGCUGAUACCGCCCAAGAGUUCAUAUCGACGGCGGUGUUUGGCACCUCGAUGUCGGCUCAUCACAUCCUGGGGCUGAAGUAGGUCCCAAGGGUAUGGCUGUUCGCCAUUUAAAGUGGUACGCGAGCUGGGUUUAGAACGUCGUGAGACAGUUCGGUCCCUAUCUGCCGUGGGCGCUGGAGAACUGAGGGGGGCUGCUCCUAGUACGAGAGGACCGGAGUGGACGCAUCACUGGUGUUCGGGUUGUCAUGCCAAUGGCACUGCCCGGUAGCUAAAUGCGGAAGAGAUAAGUGCUGAAAGCAUCUAAGCACGAAACUUGCCCCGAGAUGAGUUCUCCCUGACUCCUUGAGAGUCCUGAAGGAACGUUGAAGACGACGACGUUGAUAGGCCGGGUGUGUAAGCGCAGCGAUGCGUUGAGCUAACCGGUACUAAUGAACCGUGAGGCUUAACC
rnacentral:rRNA from 1 species